GGUUAAGCGACUAAGCGUACACGGUGGAUGCCCUGGCAGUCAGAGGCGAUGAAGGACGUGCUAAUCUGCGAAAAGCGUCGGUAAGGUGAUAUGAACCGUUAUAACCGGCGAUGUCCGAAUGGGGAAACCCAGUGUGAUUCGUCACACUAUCGUUAACUGAAUACAUAGGUUAACGAGGCGAACCGGGGGAACUGAAACAUCUAAGUACCCCGAGGAAAAGAAAUCAACCGAGAUUCCCCCAGUAGCGGCGAGCGAACGGGGAGCAGCCCAGAGUCUGAAUCAGCUUGUGUGUUAGUGGAACGGUCUGGAAAGUCCGACGGUACAGGGUGAUAGUCCCGUACACCAAAAUGCACAGGCUGUGAACUCGAAGAGUAGGGCGGGACACGUGGUAUCCUGUCUGAAUAUGGGGGGACCAUCCUCCAAGGCUAAAUACUCCUGACUGACCGAUAGUGAACCAGUACCGUGAGGGAAAGGCGAAAAGAACCCCGGCGAGGGGAGUGAAAAAGAACCUGAAACCGUGUACGUACAAGCAGUGGGAGCACCUUCGGGUGUGACUGCGUACCUUUUGUAUAAUGGGUCAGCGACUUAUAUUCUGUAGCAAGGUUAACCGUAUAGGGGAGCCGCAGGGAAACCGAGUCUUAACUGGGCGUUAAGUUGCAGGGUAUAGACCCGAAACCCGGUGAUCUAGCCAUGGGCAGGUUGAAGGUUGGGUAACACUAACUGGAGGACCGAACCGACUAAUGUUGAAAAAUUAGCGGAUGACUUGUGGCUGGGGGUGAAAGGCCAAUCAAACCGGGAGAUAGCUGGUUCUCCCCGAAAGCUAUUUAGGUAGCGCCUCGUGAACUCAUCUUCGGGGGUAGAGCACUGUUUCGGCUAGGGGGUCAUCCCGACUUACCAACCCGAUGCAAACUACGAAUACCGAAGAAUGUUAUCACGGGAGACACACGGCGGGUGCUAACGUCCGUCGUGAAGAGGGAAACAACCCAGACCGCCAGCUAAGGUCCCAAAGUCAUGGUUAAGUGGGAAACGAUGUGGGAAGGCACAGACAGCCAGGAUGUUGGCUUAGAAGCAGCCAUCAUUUAAAGAAAGCGUAAUAGCUCACUGGUCGAGUCGGCCUGCGCGGAAGAUGUAACGGGGCUAAACCAUGCACCGAAGCUGCGGCAGCGACACUAUGUGUUGUUGGGUAGGGGAGCGUUCUGUAAGCCUGCGAAGGUGACCUGUGAGGGUUGCUGGAGGUAUCAGAAGUGCGAAUGCUGACAUAAGUAACGAUAAAGCGGGUGAAAAGCCCGCUCGCCGGAAGACCAAGGGUUCCUGUCCAACGUUAAUCGGGGCAGGGUGAGUCGACCCCUAAGGCGAGGCCGAAAGGCGUAGUCGAUGGGAAACAGGUUAAUAUUCCUGUACUUGGUGUUACUGCGAAGGGGGGACGGAGAAGGCUAUGUUAGCCGGGCGACGGUUGUCCCGGUUUAAGCAUGUAGGCUGGUUGUCCAGGCAAAUCCGGAUAAUCAAGGCUGAGGUGUGAUGACGAGGCACUACGGUGCUGAAGUAACAAAUGCCCUGCUUCCAGGAAAAGCCUCUAAGCAUCAGGUAACAUCAAAUCGUACCCCAAACCGACACAGGUGGUCAGGUAGAGAAUACCAAGGCGCUUGAGAGAACUCGGGUGAAGGAACUAGGCAAAAUGGUGCCGUAACUUCGGGAGAAGGCACGCUGGUGUGUAGGUGAAGCCCCUGCGGGUGGAGCUGAGACCAGUCGAAGAUACCAGCUGGCUGCAACUGUUUAUUAAAAACACAGCACUGUGCAAACACGAAAGUGGACGUAUACGGUGUGACGCCUGCCCGGUGCCGGAAGGUUAAUUGAUGGGGUUAUCCGUAAGGAGAAGCUCUUGAUCGAAGCCCCGGUAAACGGCGGCCGUAACUAUAACGGUCCUAAGGUAGCGAAAUUCCUUGUCGGGUAAGUUCCGACCUGCACGAAUGGCGUAAUGAUGGCCAGGCUGUCUCCACCCGAGACUCAGUGAAAUUGAACUCGCUGUGAAGAUGCAGUGUACCCGCGGCAAGACGGAAAGACCCCGUGAACCUUUACUAUAGCUUGACACUGAACAUUGAGCCUUGAUGUGUAGGAUAGGUGGGAGGCUUUGAAGCGUGGACGCCAGUCUGCGUGGAGCCAACCUUGAAAUACCACCCUUUAAUGUUUGAUGUUCUAACGUUGGCCCCUUACCGGGGUUGCGGACAGUGUCUGGUGGGUAGUUUGACUGGGGCGGUCUCCUCCCAAAGCGUAACGGAGGAGCACGAAGGUUAGCUAAUCCUGGUCGGACAUCAGGAGGUUAGUGCAAUGGCAUAAGCUAGCUUGACUGCGAGCGUGACGGCGCGAGCAGGUGCGAAAGCAGGUCAUAGUGAUCCGGUGGUUCUGAAUGGAAGGGCCAUCGCUCAACGGAUAAAAGGUACUCCGGGGAUAACAGGCUGAUACCGCCCAAGAGUUCAUAUCGACGGCGGUGUUUGGCACCUCGAUGUCGGCUCAUCACAUCCUGGGGCUGAAGUAGGUCCCAAGGGUAUGGCUGUUCGCCAUUUAAAGUGGUACGCGAGCUGGGUUUAGAACGUCGUGAGACAGUUCGGUCCCUAUCUGCCGUGGGCGCUGGAGAAUUGAGGGGGGCUGCUCCUAGUACGAGAGGACCGGAGUGGACGCAUCACUGGUGUUCGGGUUGUCAUGCCAAUGGCACUGCCCGGUAGCUAAAUGCGGAAGAGAUAAGUGCUGAAAGCAUCUAAGCACGAAACUUGCCCCGAGAUGAGUUCUCCCUGAGACUUUAAGUCUCCUGAAGGAACGUUGAAGACGACGACGUUGAUAGGCCGGGUGUGUAAGCGCAGCGAUGCGUUGAGCUAACCGGUACUAAUGAACCGUGAGGCUUAACCUU
rnacentral:rRNA from 1 species